GAGAUGGGUUAGACAGCAGCGGAGUUCAGAAGAAGGGGGUGAGUGGUGGUAGGGAUGAAUUGGAGGAACGGGCGGGUAGGCGGGUAGGGAAGUGGGGUGUUAAAGCGUGGGGCUUAAGCUGGUAACUGCAGCCGAAACUGGAGAGCUAUAGUACGGUAGAGGUAUGUGGAAUUUCCUGUUUAGAGGUUAAAUGCGUAGAUAUAGGAAGGAACACCAUUGGCGAAGUCGACUACCUGGCUAGAUACUGACUCUGAGGUGCGAAAGCGUGGGGAGCAAACAGGAUUAGAUACCCUAGUAGUC
rnacentral:rRNA from 1 species